rnacentral:rRNA from 1 species
UACAGAGGUCUCGAGCGUUGUUCGGAUUCAUUGGGCGUAAAGGGUGCGUAGGCGGCGAGCUAAGUUUGGUGUGAAAUCCUGGGGCUUAACCUCAGAAAUGCACUGAAUACUGGUUUGCUAGAGGACUGGAGAGGAGAUUGGAAUUCACGGUGUAGCAGUGAAAUGCGUAGAUAUCGUGAGGAAGACCAGUGGCGAAGGCGACUUACUGGACACAUAUUGACGCUGAGGUGCGAAAGCGUGGGGAGCAAACAGG